rnacentral:rRNA from 1 species
GUGCCAGCAGCCGCGGUAAGACGUAGGAGGCGAGCGUUGUCCGGAUUCAUUGGGCGUAAAGAGCACGCAGGCGGUUUGGCAAGUCGGAUGUGAAAACCCGGAGCUCAACUCCGGGCGUGCAUCCGAUACUGCCCGACUAGAGGUAGGUAGGGGAGAUCGGAAUUCCUGGUGUAGCGGUGAAAUGCGCAGAUAUCAGGAGGAACACCGGUGGCGAAGGCGGAUCUCUGGGCCUUACCUGACGCUCAGGUGCGAAAGCUAGGGGAGCAAACAGGAUUAGAUACCCUGGUAGUCC